rnacentral:rRNA from 1 species
AGGACGAACGCUGGCGGCGUGCUUAACACAUGCAAGUCGAACGAUGAAGCCUUCGGGUGGAUUAGUGGCGAACGGGUGAGUAACACGUGGGAAAUCUGCCCUGCACUCUGGGACAAGCCUUGGAAACGAGGUCUAAUACCGGAUAUGACCUGUCCUCGCAUGGGGAUGGGUGGAAAGCUCCGGCGGUGCAGGAUGAUCCCGCGGCCUAUCAGCUUGUUGGUGGGGUAAUGGCCUACCAAGGCGACGACGGGUAGCCGGCCUGAGAGGGCGACCGGCCACACUGGGACUGAGACACGGCCCAGACUCCUACGGGAGGCAGCAGUGGGGGAAUAUUGCACAAUGGGCGAAAGCCUGAUGCAGCGACGCCGCGUGAGGAUGAAGGCCUUCGGGUCGUAAACCUCUUUCAGCAGGGAGAAGCGCAAGUGACGGUACCUGCAGAAGAGCACCGGCUAACUACGUGCCAGCAGCCGC